rnacentral:rRNA from 1 species
GCUAAACGCGAAGAACCUUACCAAGGCUUGACAUGGAUUUCUAAGCACGUGAAAGCGUGUGACCCUUCGGGGGACUUCCACAGGUGCUGCAUGGCCGUCGUCAGCUCGUGUCGUGAGAUGUUGGGUUAAGUCCCGCAACGAGCGCAACCCUUGUGAACAGUUGCCAGCGCGUCAUGGCGGGAACUCUGUUCAGACUGCCCAGAUCAACUGGGAGGAAGGUGGGGACGACGUCAGGUCAGUAUGGCCCUUACGCCUUGGGCUGCACACGUACUACAAUGCCCAGCACAAUGAGAACCGAUGCCGCGAGGUGGAGGAAAUCUGCAAAACUGGGACCUCAGUUCGGAUUGGAGGCUGCAACUCGCCUCCAUGAAGUUGGAAUCGCUAGUAAUGGGGCAUCAUCUACGGCCCCGUGAAUACGUU